rnacentral:rRNA from 1 species
AGGACGAACGCUGGCGGCGUGCUUCAUACAUGCAAGUCGAGCGGAAAGGCCCUUCGGGGUACUCGAGCGGCGAACGGGUGAGUAACACGUGAGCAACCUACCCUUGGCUCUGGGAUAACUCCUCGAAGGAGGUGCUAAUACCGGAUAUGACUUCAUUCGACAUCGUCUGGAGUGGAAAGUUUUCGGCCAAGGAUGGGCUCGCGGCCUAUCAGCUUGUUGGUGAGGGUAACGGCCCACCAAGGCUUCGACGGGUA